GACGAACGCUGGCGGCGUGCCUAAUACAUGCAAGUCGAGCGGACUGAGUGGGAGCUUGCUCUUGUUCGGUCAGCGGCGGACGGGUGAGUAACACGUGGGCAACCUGCCCGCAAGACCGGGAUAACUCCGGGAAACCGGAGCUAAUACCGGAUAACACCGAAGACCGCAUGGUCUUUGGUUGAAAGGCGGCGCAAGCUGCCACUUGCGGAUGGGCCCGCGGCGCAUUAGCUAGUUGGUGAGGUAACGGCUCACCAAGGCGACGAUGCGUAGCCGGCCUGAGAGGGUGACCGGCCACACUGGGACUGAGACACGGCCCAGACUCCUACGGGAGGCAGCAGUAGGGAAUCUUCCGCAAUGGGCGAAAGCCUGACGGAGCGACGCCGCGUGAGCGAAGAAGGCCUUCGGGUCGUAAAGCUCUGUUGUGAGGGACGAAGGAGCGCCGUUUGAAGAAGGCGGCGCGGUGACGGUACCUCACGAGGAAGCCCCGGCUAACUACGUG
rnacentral:rRNA from 1 species